rnacentral:rRNA from 1 species
CAGUCGUACGCUAGCCGCUGAAUUGAUCCUUCGGGUGAAGUGAGGCAAUGACUAGAGUGGCGAACUGGUGAGUAACACGUAAGAAACCUGCCCUUUAGUGGGGGAUAACAUUUGGAAACAGAUGCUAAUACCGCGUAACAACAAAUCACACAUGUGAUCUGUUUGAAAGGUCCUUUUGGAUCGCUAGAGGAUGGUCUUGCGGCGUAUUAGCUUGUUGGUAGGGUAGAAGCCUACCAAGGCAAUGAUGCGUAGCCGAGUUGAGAGACUGGCCGGCCACAUUGGGACUGAGACACUGCCCAAACUCCUACGGGAGGCUGCAGUAGGGAAUUUUCCGCAAUGCACGAAAGUGUGACGGAGCGACGCCGCGUGUGUGAUGAAGGCUUUCGGGUCGUAAAGCACUGUUGUAAGGGAAGAAUAACUGAAUUCAGAGAAAGUUUUCAGCUUGACGGUACCUUACCAGAAAGGGAUGGCUAAAUACGUGCCAGCAGCCGCGGUAAUACGUAUGUCCCGAGCGUUAUCCGGAUUUAUUGGGCGUAAAGCGAGCGCAGACGGUUUAUUAAGUCUGAUGUGAAAUCCCGAGGCCCAACCUCGGAACUGCAUUGGAAACUGAUUUACUUGAGUGCGAUAGAGGCAAGUGGAACUCCAUGUGUA